rnacentral:misc_RNA from 1 species
UCGUGGGGCUCCGGCCCCGUCGAGAUAGCGUCCUUGCCUAUUUUUUGGAGUACCUUUUCGUUUCCUCAGCAGGCCUGCCUGCUCCCGGGGACCCCCAAAACUCUUUUGUAAACGCAGCAAUCGUCUGAGCAAACAAACAAAAAAAUCA